rnacentral:tRNA from 1 species
CUCCCAAUAGUCCAAUCGGCAGAGACACAGAACUUAAAAUUCUGACAGUGUGGAUUCGAGUUCCACUUGGGAGACCA